CUGGACUACAACUCCACCCAGAACUACAUUCCCCAUGAGCGCCGCGCGCCGCGAGGAGCAUCGAUAAACUCUCUUCAACACACAAACCAGCCCAAUAAUCGCAAAUAGCCAUACUCUGGGCACUCAUCUGCAGGCUGGAGGCACAGAGAAGCUCUUCUUCUGCUCGGGGAACAUCGAGUGUCUGGUGGAGAGCUGGACGUCGGAUCUAUAACAUGCAUCAAGCAUCCUCUAGCACUUAUAAGCCAGCUGUUGUCAACAAUAGAAUUUGGCUGAUGUUCAGAUGUGAGAGCCACUGUCACAAGUUAAGGGUGGGUGGAACGACCCUCCAGCUGUACGCGCAGGACAAUUACAAAAAAAAGUCACAGCGCUGGUGAUGGGUUUCCCAGCAGAGGAUCUCGGUCCUCAGGAUCGAGUCCAGGUGCCGCCCGGAGCCCCUCAGGAGCCCAGCAUACAGCAAACGAAGCACAAACUGGACGAUGCCUCCAAGCGUCUGGUGACUGUGUGACAAGCUGCGAGACCAAGCGCAGGCCUUGCUCAUCACACAACAAGCAGAACGACUUUCUGUGAGGAUUUAUUCAUAAAUAUUAUUGCAUAAAUUGCAUUGAAUUGAAUGCAAUGGUUUGCCUAAAAACAGGCCUUAAAACAAGCAGAACCAAUUUUUGUGAAUUAUUGCAUUCAGGUCGAAGCGAGAAUACCAUGCAUAAUUGUUAAUGCAUAAUUGUGUUGCAUUAAAUGAAGCAAUUUGUAAAAUUUUAUUAAUAUUUUGGGAUUCAACUUUAUAAUUGUUCAUUAUUUUUUUUUGCAUAAAUUGCAUUGAAUAAAAUAGACCUUAAACCAAGCAGAACUUAUUUGUGCUAACUGUUACAUUUAAUUCAGUGUGAAAAUGUAAGAACUGUGUAAUGAAAUGCAUGCAGAAAGACUUCUUCAAUAAUUGUUGGUAAAACCAUUGUGUUGCAUUGGAUGCACAGGUUUGUAUAAAAAAGGCCUUAUAACAAGCAAAAUAAAUUUGUACAAAUCAUUUGUUAAAUAAUUACUGUAUGUAAUUGUUACAUUUAACUCAAUGUAAGAAUCUACUCAAGCAGAACAACUUUCUGUGCAUAAUUGUUCAUAAAAAAAGUUUAAUAAAAAAAAGUUUACCUAAAAA